GACGAACGCUGGCGGCGUGCCUAAUACAUGCAAGUUGAGCGAUGAAGCUUGGUGCUUGCACCAAUUUGAAGAGCAGCGAACGGGUGAGUAACGCGUGGGGAAUCUGCCUUUGAGCGGGGGACAACAUUUGGAAACGAAUGCUAAUACCGCAUAAUAACUUUAAACAUAAGUUUUAAGUUUGAAAGAUGCAAUUGCAUCACUCAAAGAUGAUCCCGCGUUGUAUUAGCUAGUUGGUGAGGUAAAGGCUCACCAAGGCGAUGAUACAUAGCCGACCUGAGAGGGUGAUCGGCCACAUUGGGACUGAGACACGGCCCAAACUCCUACGGGAGGCAGCAGUAGGGAAUCUUCGGCAAUGGACGAAAGUCUGACCGAGCAACGCCGCGUGAGUGAAGAAGGUUUUCGGAUCGUAAAACUCUGUUGGUAGAGAAGAACGUUGGUGAGAGUGGAAAGCUCAUCAAGUGACGGUAACUACCCAGAAAGGGACGGCCAACUACGUG
rnacentral:rRNA from 1 species